rnacentral:lncRNA from 1 species
UUCCACUCAAUGUUGUGUAAAACUCUUUCUCUAUUGCAAUCCCUAUACCUUGAUAAAUAAUCUGUAUCCCGGCAGCAGGCAAGAAGAAUCCACUGGGCCACUACAUCUGGAUCUAAAGGCCAUGCAUUUUCCACUACAAGCUAAUUAACAAGAGGUAUCCUUUCCCCUCAGAAACAACUAGACAAACCCGUGUAGAUUCUACAUAUAAGAACAGUUAAAGAAAAUCUGGUUAAUACUUAGCCAAGUAUACUUAUCAGGAAAUCAUCAACAGUCUUUCUCUGACAUUCCUGAAAUAGUAAUCCCCACCUUACACUUGUAUCACUUGUUUUCUAAAUAUUAAUAUACAGUAAAAUUCAGGUGACUGUGUGCUAUGGGAAAAUCUGGAGGAAAAGAUAACUUGAAAAAUAUACUUUUUUGGCUCUGCUUGCUACCGAAAAAAAAUUUUUUUAAGAAAAUAUACUCUUCCCUCCCUAACAUUAAAGUGAAUCCACAGAAGAUGCGUUUGGUGAAGUGGUGGUGAAUACUAAGUAGAAAGGGCAAACUAACACAGCCUUAGAGCCUGGAUAAAAUCCUGGUGUCUUGAAAGUUCGACUGUGGGAAAUCUGGAGAGUAAGGGCUAUCUCUGAUCUGUCUAUGUAACUUCUGCACCUUGCACAUAGUAGAGGCCUGACAGAUACACGACAACCCAUGUGUGCAUGCAAUAAUCCAAUCCACAAUUAGGAACAUUGUGCCAAAAGGAGACCCACCAACUAAAAAGAGAUAAAAAUUCUUAGCUUUCUGUGACUACCCUUUGACUACUGCCUUUGCUGACGAAAACAGAGAAGAAAAGAGGAGGCUUCAGUAUUCAAACACUGCCAGUUCCGUAGUGAACUCUAAAAAUGGUUACUCUUGGGAUACAAAGAACCCCCACAAGGAUAAACAGCUUUUGAGGUUACCCGAAUGCCCCAGCAAAGGGCACUUCCGGAGCCGCACCGGAACCCCUUGGCGGAGUAUGUGGCUUCCUGCGGGAACGAUUUAAGAAUAGGACUACUUCCUGCUUCUGGACAUGGGCGGGUGAAGGGAAAGGAAAUAGCUUUAAGAGCGGCAUCCUGCCUGAGCUAGCAGCGGUGGAGGAGGAGGCAGAGAGGAGUGGAGGGCGGAGUAGACGGAGGAGGCUGCGGCAGAGAAGAAAGUGUCAGAGCCGGGAAGGAAGAAAGUACUGUGCGCCCCCAUUUAACCCUCGGGACCUGGCGAAAUCCUGCUACGUGGGUAGUGAACAUUGUUUCGGGAACUGAAGGAAAUGCAUGUAAAGAGUGUUAGUCUGGAGCCAUA